UGGCAGUGUGGUUAGCUGGUUGUUAAAUGAAAACAACAACCACUAUCUACAUUGCCGGA
rnacentral:pre_miRNA from 1 species